AUGGCGACAACAACCGCGGCGGCGCCGGCACCGGCGGCCGGGUACGGCGCGGACGGCGUGUACCGCUCGCUGCGCCCGCCGGCGCGCAUCCCGUCCGACCCGGGCCUCUCCGUCGCCGACCUCCUCCUGCGCCGCGCCGAGGCGUGCCCGUCCGCGCCCGCGCUGAUCGACGCCGCCACCGGCCGCGCGCUCACCUUCGCCGGCCUCCGGUCCGCGGUGCUCACCACGGCCGUCGCGCUCGCCUCCCGCGCGGGCGUCCGGCCCGGCGACGCCGUGCUCCUCCUCGCGCCCAACUGCGUCCUCUACCCGGUCUGCUUCUUCGCGGUCACCGCCGUCGGCGCCGUCGCCAGCACCGCCAACCCGCUCUACACCCCGCGGGAGAUCGCCAAGCAGGCGUCCGACGCCCGCGUCAAGCUCGUCGUCACCGUGGCGGAGCUGCUCCCCAAGGUCGCCGCCCUCCGCCUGCCCGUCAUCCUCCUCGACGACGCCGCGUCCGUCGCCACCGCCGCCCCUCCGGCGACGGCCAACGUGACACUCUACUCCGACCUCGUGUCCGGCGCGGACGAGUCAGCCUACCGCCGCCCGCCGACAAAGCAGGGCGACACGGCGGGGCUGCUCUACUCCUCCGGCACGACGGGGGAGAGCAAGGGCGUCGUCCUAACGCACCGCAACUUCAUCGCGGCGGCGACGAUGGUGACGUCGGACCAGGACGAGCGCGGGGAGCCGCCCAACGUGUUCCUCUGCUUCCUGCCCAUGUUCCACAUCUUCGGCCUCUCCGUCAUCACCUUCGCGCAGCUGCAGCGCGGCAAUGCCGUGGUCGUCAUGUCGGGCUUCGCCAUGGACUCCGUGAUGAGGGCCGUGCAGCAGCACCAGGUGACGCACGUCUUCUGCGUGCCGCCGGUGAUGAUCGCGCUCGCCAAGCACGGGCGGGCCGGCAAGUACGACCUCAGCUCGCUCAAGUUCAUCGGCUCCGGCGCCGCACCGCUCGGCAGGGACGUCAUGGAGGUGGUGGCCAAGAACUUUCCCGACGCCGAGAUCGUUCAGGGCUAUGGUAUGACUGAGACAUGUGGGAUCAUAUCGCUUGAAUACCCAGAAAAGGGACAAGCUCGUCAGUUUGGGUCAACCGGAACACUGGUUGUUGGAGUUGAAGCAAAAGUUGUCGAUGUAGAGACGCAAAACCAUCUACCACCAAGUCAACUAGGAGAAAUCUGUAUCCGGGGACCACAAAUAAUGCAAGGGUAUUUCAACAAUGUGGAGGCUACUGAUUUUACAAUCAAGCAAGGAUGGUUGCAUACUGGUGACCUUGGAUACUUUGAUGAAGAAGGCCAGCUUUUUGUUGUUGAUAGACUAAAAGAGCUGAUUAAGUACAAAGGUUUCCAGAUUGCACCUGCUGAGCUUGAAGGAUUACUUCUAUCUCAUCCAGAGAUUCUGGAUGCUGUCGUUAUCCCGUUGCCUGACGAUGAAGCUGGGGAAGUUCCUAUUGCCUAUGUGGUGAGGUCACCUGCCAGUUCAUUAACCGAAGCGGACGUCCAGAAGUUUAUCGCAAAGCAGGUCACGUACUACAAAAGGUUGAGGCGGGUUACCUUCGUGGAGAGCGUGCCAAAGUCAACCGCAGGCAAGAUCUUGAGAAGAGAGCUCAUUGCCCAGGUCAGAUCGUCCAAGUUGUAG
rnacentral:rRNA from 1 species